CUUCUCUGGUUUCUCUUGGUUCGCUCUCCACCUCAGUUCAUCGUCAGUCGGGUUUCGGUUUCGAGAUCAAAACAAGAAGCUGUGAAUUGGUGGGCAUCAAUUUGACAGUGUAUUCAUAGCCGGGUUUCGGGAAGGAGUUGAAGUAGAAGCUUGGGUUUUCCACCUGCAAUUCGUGCUACCCAAGGUAAAUCGAGGUUCUGCACUUUUGGCACGUUUGGCAUAUUGGAUGAACUGUAGUGUUUUGCCUAGUCUAAUCGAGUUGUAUAGUUCUGGGUGUUUGGAGUUUAUGUUUGAAUGUGCUGAAAUGGUUGUGAAGGGUGAAAAUGGUCAAGUGUGA
rnacentral:lncRNA from 1 species